rnacentral:rRNA from 1 species
UCAGUUAGUUGGUGAGUUAAUGGCUCACCAAGGCUAUGACGGGUAGCUGGUCUGAGAGGACGACCAGCCACACGGGAACUGAGACACGGUCCCGACUCCUACGGGAGGCAGCAGUGGGGAAUUUUCCGCAAUGGGCGAAAGCCUGACGGAGUGACGCCGCGUGGGGGACGAAGGCCUUCGGGUCGUAAACCCCUGUCAGAGGGAAAGAAGGGUGCAUCGGAUUAAUACCCCGGUGGUCUGACGGUACCUUCAGAGGAAGC